GGUAAAAUGGCUGAGGUAAUAGGCGAUAAAUUGUAAAUUUAUAGACGAAGUUUUUCUUUUAUCA
rnacentral:tRNA from 1 species